UACGUAGGGUGCGAGCGUUAAUCGGAAUUACUGGGCGUAAAGCGUGCGCAGGCGGUUCGUUAUGUCCGAUGUGAAAGCCCCGAGCUCAACUUGGGAAUGGCAUUAGAAACUGGCGGGCUGGAGUGUGGCAGAGGGGGGUGGAAUUCCACGUGUAGCAGUGAAAUGCGUAGAGAUGUGGAGGAACACCGAUGGCGAAGGCAGCCCCCUGGGCCAACACUGACGCUCAGGCACGAAAGCGUGGGGAGCAAACAGG
rnacentral:rRNA from 1 species